UUGAACUACAAGAUAAGGGUAGAAAAAGAAUAAAAAGCAUAAGUGCUUCACAAAAAGAGCAAACUUAGAUUUCCUUUUUUUAUUUUUUUUUUAAUUUUUUUAUUUAUUUAUUUAUGUUAUUUUUAUUUUUAUUUUUUUCAGGCUCACAGAGGACAGGAAAGUGCUCUGGGUCUGCUACAGGGCUCAGGGCUGUGGAGAAGGAAUUUUUUAUUUGCUGAGCAUCAUAAGGAUCCCCUAGUGGCACCGGUGUGGAGGGUAGCUGGGAUAUGCAGGCAGUUCUGCUCUUUCCUAAGGGCCAAAAAUACUUGUUUAGUAAACUGCUGAUGUGCAUGAACUUCACAGGAGAUACAAGUUUUACUUAGUGUAGAUGUGGCUACUGCUUAGCCCAGCUUCUCAUUUACACUGGAGUAAUUUUUGCAUAUACAUUAAAUAUCAGAGAGGUGGAAAGCACUAUAGAUGAAUAUAGGUACUAGCUUAUCAUUUGCACUGCUUCCACAUGUACAUUUUAUCCCCUGGGGGAAAAAAAAAAAUCCUAGAUGAGCCUGUCGCAAAUAUCAGUUUCUUACAUAUUCCUCCCCCUAACUAUACCCAGAAGCCGAUUGUCCAUCAGUGCCCCAAGCAGCUUGUGACAAACCGUGGUUUCAGUAAUUACUGAAGAUCCAUAUUACAUCUGUGAUACUGCUCACCAGAGGAGUUCAGACCUAGAAAGACAGGCAUCAUCAUUUUUCCUUUGAAGCUGAGACCAAGUCUGAGUCACUGGGCUGGCCACUGACUGGCUCAGCAGAUCAGCAGUGGCACCAAACAUAUUGUAUUUAUUGAACAUAAUGGAGGGGAACAGGGAGAUAUAGGAUGGAAACAGCAGUGAUACAAAGGGAACUAGACAGCACCGGAUAAGGAAUUGAGUCAGGUAUUGGCCAGCUACCAGGAGGAGCAUAUUUUUAACAAAGAUCGUUUGACAGUCGGAAUCGGGAAAUAAAGGGAAUUUUGCUUUGUUUGCAGUCCCCUGUACUUGGAGUGAUCCACACUUCACCAACGUUGUUCAGCACGUCUUAAAGGUAUAAAAGGCCUUAUGUGUUUACCAAGAUUUUAAUCUAAAAGGACUUUUUCUUUUUGGGCUUGAUGACUUUUUUCUUCUUUUAGCGUUUCAAGUAAGCAGGGAUUUCUUUGUUUGGAAUAUGCAAAAUAUUACCAAUGGAGAAGCCUAGCUGCAUUCAAUGACUCUGCAUUACUCCAUUUUCUUACAAGGUCAGCACAACUCUUAAAGAGUGUAGGAACUGGGUUGCAUUGUCUUUGCACAUUGCCUUUCCUUUAUCCAUGGAAACCCACCCCACUGGCCUAAGCCCUUUUGCAUGACCACUAUUUUAUUUACAAAUUGGCAGUAAAGUGCUGCAGUCUCUCUGACAGCAUGCAAUUAAUUGCACAUGAUCUCUUUAGGCUUCGAGACGUACCUUUCAUAAAUGAUGAUACAUUCCAAAAGGCAGUUCCAACUGGCUGCUUUGCAUUUUGCAUAUAUUUUUCAUAUUUCCAAGACAGGACAUAUGCAAAAUCAUUUUACUGUGGCAAAACCACAGGAAAGGUAAUGAUUUGGAAGAAAGGCUGGAGACCAAAGGCUCUGUUCCUAAUUCUUCCACUCAUGUGCUGCAGACUGGGUAAGUCACCUAAUAUUUCUCUGCCUUUUUUCUGCAUCUGCACAAGGUUAUUUUUUCUUCUAAGGGUUUGAAUUCAGUGAAUGAAACUCUAAUUUAUUAUUAUUAAUAUAUUCCAAUAAAUGGUUGCAGAGCUUUAGCAUUGCUUUGAAGUCAGUCAAAUAAGUAUUAAAGAAACCAUGAGUUAUUAGAAACCUCAGUUCAGUCCAUCUGAUAUAACUGUGUUGAAAUGCUACUUGCGGGACGACCUCUUCAGAACAAGAAACUGAUAAAGCUGCAUGUGCUAAAUGGAUCCUGGAGUCUAGAAAAGCUUUUUCUCUCAUCACUCAUCCAUUAUGAAAACACUGACAUAAGUCAUGGCCCCAAAUCACUAAAAGCAACUUUUACUACAUAAAGCAUUUAAAUGUGCCAGUAAAUACCUUAUAACAGCAUCAUACCUAUCACCAUUCAUACAGCACGCUCCUAUCCACUUUCAUUAUUCUCUCCUUCCUCCUACCCUGCCUUACUGUUGUGAAUUAUGGGCAACUCUUGGAAAAGUGACAUACACUUUAAUUAUGCACAUAAUACUAUAAUUGAAUCAAACUACUUUGUUUCCCGAAAAAGCUAUUCUUUAUUUGCUGGCAGGCUGCUUGUUUGUGAUCCUAGCAUUGUCAGUCACAUCAGGAAAGCCAUCUUAGUCAUAAAAUAGCUAUUGUAGGGGAAGUAUUAUUGGUUCUGUACAGGGCUCUUUAAUGGUAAUUAUGUACAGCUUUUAGUAAUUUUAAGACUCACCCAAGCAUCAUUGAAACAAACCAUUUGCAAUGACAUGCAAUGAUGCCUGCACAGUAUUUUUAUAAGCAAACUGAAAUAAGACAUUUUGGUGGUAACAUGUAAAUUAGCCUUGAGGCUUGCAAUGCAAUGCUCAUCAAGUGUGUAACAUUUAAUUACAAGACCAUUGAGCAUGAGUGAAGUCCUCUGAGAUUUUCAUCCCUACAACAGAAAGAUUAUCCUACUGAACAGACAAUUUGAUUCCUCUCAUCAGACGUGGAGUGAAUCCUCCAGUCCCUCAGCAAGCCAAACAGGCAUAUAUGGGACUGAUAUCUUUCAGGACCUCAUCUGGUACCUUAUGGAGGUACUGGUGUUUAAGAUACCUUGUUGAAUCCCACCUGCAAGGAAUUGAGACUUGCAGGCACUAGGUGCAAAGUUCUGUAGUUGGAAGGGGUCUAAUCUAAGAAAGAAGAGCUCAGUCUGGGCCGUUCUCAUUUCUAACUUAAUAAACAAAACCAUUAUGGAGCAUUUAUGGAGCUACAUAGUGUGCACAGUGUGGUGUCUUCAUACAUUCGUUCAGAACUGGUUGUCUCCAACAUGCCCAAGUGCACAGCAGCACCAGAAACUCCAGCAAUUUUGUCUUCUUCACUGAACCAGUGCCGCUGGCACCCAUGUGUGUCUGGAAACACAGAUUGAAUCUUUCAUUGGCUCCAGCCCCUAGCAUGAACAAUGCUAAAUUAUUAUUUGUCUCAGCCUCUACUUCUAGAUGCUUCUAGAAAAAGUUGUGAAUGUUUUGCUGUGGGGUUUAAGCUACAAGACUGAUAGCUGAGGGCAUCUAUUUUCUAAAUGUGGGACUCUGAUGUUCACAAGGCAGCUGGCAUGACCAGCCAUACGGUGAUAAAACAAGGGAGAAGUGUCACAACAGAGAUUAAGUAUAUAUGGCCAUAAGUCGUCCAAGUACCUAUAGAGCUAUAUACCCACCUGCCAUCUAUGGAAAUCUUGCAGUCCCCCCAGUGACGUUGCCAGAGGAGAUGCCUGGGCAUCCACUGCCAAAGCAGAGGACCAGCAGGUACCUCAAAAGCUGCACACAAAGGUUGCACUUGUCCAUGGUCUCUCUCCAAGACUGAGCACACACGAUGUGUAGUAAACAACAUUCCUCCAUUUGCUUCUUUCUCUGACUGACAUUCCCCUGCCUCUGGCAAACACCUACAUGCUCUUCAGAGCCCAGUUCAGGGCAUGGCCAGAGCCCAGUGACUGCUGUCCCCAGAUUUUGAGGGCUUAUGACCAAGGUCUACACCCUCUCCGGUAACAUGCUUUAUUUUCUGGCUACAAACAUUAUUCUGCAAGCAAAAUGCUCAAUGAAUGCACUUGUGGAUGUUUGUUUCCAAUGACUAAGUCUACCAGCUUACAGUAACAAGGACAGGAAGGCGGAGAAACUGCAAAGUAUUUCAUAAAGGGUGCCAGGAGCAGAUGGCCGUUCUGAAUCCCCAGAAGAUGCACCAAGUUGGCUGACCAGACCAAAAUAAGAAGGUUUAAAAAUUAAGGAGUAUAUGCAGGACCAACAGAAUUAAACCAGGCUGCUUGCAGUUGGACAAACUCCCGUGACCUUAAUCUGUGAUCUUACUUGUGGGAAAAGACCUGUGGGAAAAGUACCCCAGCCCCCCACGAGACCUUUGUAGCCGAGGAACAUCAAAUCAAAAUAGCAUGUGAGCAGAGUGUAGAUCUGGCUUACAUAUUCUGCCUACAUGUCCUUGGUUUUCUUCUGCUACAGGCAGACUGUCUGAAGUCACCCUCCAGCCUUUCAGCUGAUAAUCUACUUGCUGACAAUAACUAGCAAAAGACUAACAUUGUGCCUGGCUCUGCAGUAGACUCAAAGCAGCCCACAGGCACGGUGCAGGGUCAGACUGCUGCGAGGCUGUUUGUUUAUUUUGGUUGACAUUUUCCUUUGUCAAGAAUCUGUUCCUUGUUAUUCAGCAUGUACAGCCCUGCACAUAGCCUAUCUGUUUAACUGUCUUUGGAUAAAAGUGGGUAUUUUCCCAUGUCAAUAAAUGUUCUGGUGUGAAGCUGUGAGCUGGCCUCAGAGAGAACCACCCCCUGCUGCGUAUCUCACUUCUGCAUUGAGUUUUCUUUGUUAAUCAUGUGCAAAAUAAGAAGGCUUUCUGUCUAGCAAAAACCCAUCAUUAAUUUUUCAUAUGAGCACUAAAGUCUUGAGCAGAAUCCUUAAGUGGCUUCAAAGAAAAAGGAAUAAUAAAACCAAAGAGCUACAUUUUCCUUUUCCCUUUCUUCAUUAUUGGAUUUUGUAAGAAAACUUCUUAAUGCAAAAAGUACAGUUCUCUCAGCUUCACAGUGACACAUUCAUUUUGAAGACUACAUUUGACCUUCAACUUUGUCCUUCAUUAGCAGGACUACACCUAAACACGCCUUCAUUUUACUGCAAAUGAGACAGAUGCAAUGUGUAUUCUGUUCAGCCCCAGCAUUAGGAUUAUCCCAAGAGUGGCAUUUAUGUCCUUGUAGUUCUUUGGUAUAAAUAAAUAUCAAAGUAGGAAGACCAAUCUGUACUCCACUAGGAAUAAUAAACUAAAAUAAUAUGGCACUGA